ACACUUCCAAUACAACCAUUCAGUCAUUCUGUGACCUGUAAGGACCUUUCCAACCCAACACAACCAUUCUGUGCUUCUGUGAUCUGUCAGGACCCUUCCAACACACCCAUUCAGUCGUUCUGUGAUCUGUAAGGACCCUUCCAACACAACCAUCCUGUGGUUCUGUGACCUGUAAGGACCCUUCCAACACAACCAUUCUAUGCUUCUGUGAUCUGUAAGGACCCUUCCAACCCAACCCAACCAUUCAGUGCUUCUGUGAUAUGUAAAGACCUUUCCAACAGAACCAUUCAGUGGUUCUGUGAUCUGCAAGGACCUUUCCAACCCAACCCAACCAUUCAGUGGUUCUGUGAUCUGUAAGGACCCUUCCAACACAACCAUUCUGUGCUACAGUGAUCUGUCAGGACCCUUCCAACACAACCAUUCAGUGGUUCUGUGAUCUGCAAGGACCUUUCCAACCCAACCCAACCAUUCUGUGCUUCUGUGAUCUGUAAGGACCCUUCCAACACAACGAGUCUGCAGUUCUUUGAUCUGCAAGGACCUUUCCAACACAACCAUUCAGUGGUUCUGUGAUUUCUAAGAACCCUUCCAACCCAACCAUUCAGUGGUUCUGUGAUCUGUAAGGACCCUUCCAACACAACCAUUCUGUGCUACAGUGAUCUGUAAGGACCCUUCCAACACAACGAGUCUGCGGUUCUUUGAUCUGCAAGGACCUUUCCAACACAACCAUUCAGUGGUUCUGUGAUUUCUAAGAACCCUUCCAACACAACCAUUCUGUGCUACAGUGAUCUGUCAGGACCCUUCCAACACAACGAGUCUGUGGUUCUUUGAUCUGCAAGGACCUUUCCAACACAACCAUUCAGUCGUUCUGUGACCUGUCAGGACCCUUCCAACCCAACCAUUCAGUGCUUCUGUGAUCUGUAAGGACCCUUCCAACACAACAGUUCUGUGGUUCUGUGAUCUGUAAGGACCCUUCCAACAUAACCAUCCAGUGGUUCUAUGACCUGUAAGGACUCUUCCAACCCAACCGUUCUGUGUUUCUGUGAUCUGUAAGGACCCUUCCAACACAACCAAUCUGUGGUUCUGUGAUCUGUCAGGACCCUUCCAACCCCACCAUUCAGUGGUGCUGUAGUCUAGAAGGUCCAUUCCAUGACUCUACAAUCUUCAAGGACCCUUCCAAUCCAACCCUGCCUUGGCUCUAUGAUCUUGAAGGACCAGGCCAACCCAUCAUUCUGUUAUCUAUGAUCUUCAAGGACCUUUCCAACCCAACCACCUAUCCUUCUAUGAUCUGUAAGGUCCAUCCCAUGGCUCUAUAACCUUUAAGGAACUUUCAAUGCAACCCUUCCC
ensembl:lncRNA